GUCCUGUCCAGGUGAGGUUAGUGAUGAUGAUGGUAUGUUGUCCUGUCCAGGUGAGGUUAGUGAUGAUGAUGGUAUGUUGUCCAGGUGAGGUUAGUGAUGAUGGUAUGUUGUCCUGUCCAGGUGAGGUUAGUGAUGAUGAUGAUGAUGAUGAUAUGUUGUCCUGUCCAGGUGAGGUUAGUGAUGAUGAUGGUAUGUUGUCCAGGUGAGGUUAGUGAUGAUGAUGGUAUGUUGUCCUGUCCAGGUGAGGUUAGUGAUGAUGAUGGUAUGUUGUCCAGGUGAGGUUAGUGAUGAUGGUAUGUUGUCCUGUCCAGGUGAGGUUAGUGAUGAUGAUGAUGAUGAUGAUGGUAUGUUGUCCUGUCCAGGUGAGGUUAGUGAGGUUAGUGAUGAUGGUAUGUUGUCCUGUCCAGGUGAGGUUAGUGAUGAUGAUGGUAUGUUGUCCUG
rnacentral:lncRNA from 1 species